rnacentral:rRNA from 1 species
CAGUCGAACGAAGCUUGACGGAUGAUUUCUUCGGAAUGAAACCUGAUAUGACUUAGUGGCGGACGGGUGAGUAACACGUGAGCAACCUGCCUUUCAGAGGGGGAUAACGGCUGGAAACGGUCGCUAAUACCGCAUGACGUGUUCGGAUGGCAUCAUCUGAACAUCAAAGAUUUAUCGCUGAAAGAUGGGCUCGCGUCUGAUUAGAUAGUUGGUGGGGUAACGGCCUACCAAGUCUACGAUCAGUAGCCGGACUGAGAGGUUGAACGGCCACAUUGGGACUGAGAUACGGCCCAGACUCCUACGGGAGGCAGCAGUGGGGAAUAUUGCACAAUGGGGGAAACCCUGAUGCAGCAACGCCGCGUGAAGGAUGACGGUUUUCGGAUUGUAAACUUCUUUUCUUAGUGACGAAGACAGUGACGGUAGCUAAGGAAUAAGCAUCGGCUAACUACGUGCCAGCAGCCGCGGUAAUACGUAGGAUGCAAGCGUUAUCCGGAUUUACUGGGUGUAGAGGGAGCGCAGGCGGGACUGCAAGUUGGAUGUGAAAUACCGUGGCUUAACCACGGAACUGCAUCCAAAACUGUAGUUCUUGAGUGAAGUAGAGGCAAGCGGAAUUCCGAGUGUAGCGGUGAAAUGCGUAGAUAUUCGGAGGAACACCAGUGGCGAAGGCGGCUUGCUGGGCUUUAACUGACGCUGAGGCUCGAAAGUGUGGGGAGCAAACAGGAUUAGAUACCCUGGUAGUCCACACUGUAAACGAUGAUAGCUAGGUGUGGG